AGAGUUUGAUCCUGGCUCAGAACGAACGCUGGCGGCAGGCUUAACACAUGCAAGUCGAACGGACCCUUCGGGGUUAGUGGCAGACGGGUGAGUAACGCGUGGGAACCUACCUAUAAGUACGGAACAACACAGAGAAAUUUGUGCUAAUACCGUAUGUGGUCUUCGGAUUAAAGAUUUAUCGCUUAUAGAUGGGCCCGCGUUAGAUUAGCUAGUUGGUGAGGUAACGGCUCACCAAGGCGACGAUCUAUAGCUGGUCUGAGAGGAUGAUCAGCCACACUGGGACUGAGACACGGCCCAGACUCCUACGGGAGGCAGCAGUGAGGAAUAUUGGACAAUGGGGGCAACCCUGAUCCAGCCAUGCCGCGUGAGUGAUGACGGCCUUAGGGUUGUAAAGCUCUUUCAGUAGUGAAGAUAAUGACGGUAACUACAGAAGAAGCCCCGGCUAACUUCGUGCCAGCAGCCGCGGUAAUACGAAGGGGGCUAGCGUUGUUCGGAAUCACUGGGCGUAAAGCGCGCGUAGGCGGACUUUUAAGUCAGGGGUGAAAUCCCGAGGCUCAACCUCGGAACUGCCUUUGAUACUGGAAGUCUUGAGUUCGAGAGAGGUGAGUGGAAUACCGAGUGUAGAGGUGAAAAUUCGUAGAUAUUCGGUGGAACACCAGUGGCGAAGGCGGCUCACUGGCUCGAUACUGAC
rnacentral:rRNA from 1 species